UUUAACCGAGGUAGCGUAUGAAUUCACAAUCGAGAUUGUCGUGACAAAGAUGGAAAACCAGCCAGCUGCAACACCAGGACAAGGAGUGUCACUGCUACUGAAGGACUGCAUAGAAGAGCUGCUGAGGUUCACACUUUCUUCCUCCAUUGACGGCACUCUUGAAAUAGACAUAGGUCUCUCCAAAGAUUACUGCACCACCCUCUUACUAGACGAUUCUUCCAAUCCCUUUCCUAAUUCCACUGAUCUUUCUGAAGGAGUUCCACCAUAUCCUUUAUACAAGUGCCUUGCAGCAUCCUUAUAUCAGGCUAUAUCUUCUGAAGCCUUGCCAAGGACAGAACACAAACUUGCAGUAAUGCAGGAAUCCUGUUCAUCGAAGCAAAUGCAAGAAGAGUGGACUAGUUUGAUCAGGAAAAAAGGUUCUCAUUUGCUAAAUGUGCUAAAAUCUGUGGACUUUGAACUCCAUGUUCAGGAGCCUUACUUCUCCCUGCUCAGAAGUGGACAGAAAACAAUUGAAGGAAGAUGUGCUGUUGGACAUUAUAAUAAAAUUGAACCAGGAGCUUUCAUCCUCUUCAACAAAUGUUUACUUCUUAAAGUUCAGGAUGUCCAUCAUUAUCAUUCAUUUUGUGAGAUGCUAGAAGCAGAGAAUCUUCAAGACCUUCUUCCUGGAGUGGAUACUAUUGAAGAAGAGUUCAAAAGCCAAGGUUUUAUAGUUGGUUCUUGAAGGUUACUAGAGAAAAUUGGAAUAUAAUGGGACCGUUUGAGGACCUCAUCUUCUCAAGAGCUUGCAAGUGGAAAGCAAUAUGUUCAAGUGAUAUGUAAGGUGUCCAAGUUUACCGUAAAUUUUACUCAAAAGAGAAAGAAAGGUCAAAUGGUGUUCUCGCUAUCUGUGUUCAGAAGCCGGUUUCUCAGC